GGAUGUGAGGUCAUCUGGCUGCGACACCUGUCACCCCACUGAUCACCAGGGUUGAUUCGGCUGAACUGGCUGGCUAGGCGGGUGUCCCCUUCCUCCCUCACUGCUCCAUGUGCGUCCCUCCCGAAGCUGCGCGCUCAGUUGAAGAGGAUGGCCUUCCCGAAUAGAGAAGGACCGGUCUUCGGUCGAGGGUAUAGGGGUGGCUGCGCUCCCCUGCUAGAACCUCCAGACAAGCUCUCAAGAAAGUAAAUUCAGACUUUGGAGCUCUGAGUAUGUGAGUGCAUGUGCUGAGUGCAUGUGCACCUGUGCUGUAUGUGUAUGUGGAGCCAGAU
ensembl:misc_RNA 7SK 7SK RNA